AGGUUAUUGAGGCUGGAGCAAAUGCUCUAGUGGCUGGCUCAGCUGUAUUUGGAGUCAAAGACUAUGCCGAAGCUAUUAGAGGAAUCAAAACCAGCAAAAGGCCGGAAGCAGUGGCAGUGUGAUUAUGCCGCUGAAGAUAUCCGAUCGGCUCUGAUGUAUGAUAUCUGAUUUUACAUUCACAUGUAUGUUAC